rnacentral:lncRNA from 1 species
GACUCUGCGGGCUCUCCCGCUGAACAGGAGCGAGAGCGCGAAAGAGGGGGAAACGGGAAAAAAAUCCCCCCGCCCGUGCCUGGCGCGGCGGCGGCCGGGGCGGUGCGGAGAGGAGCGCGGAGGCGCCGCCGCCGCCGCCACGGGGCACCAUCCCCGGCUCGGCCUCACGGUGGCGGUGCGGGCGCGGCGGGGACACCGAGCAAGAGACCGGGUCUGCGCCCGCCGCGAUCCCUGCGCACCACGGCCCUGCCCGCCACGGGGCGAGCCCGAUAAGAGGGCUGUGGACGUUCGGGUCUAGUUGGGAGAGACAGGGGUCCCUGACUCUUGAGCGGUGCCUGCACGACUCCCAGAAAGUCGCGUCUCCCCUAACCCCCAUGCCCAGGACCUGAGGACAAAGGUCUAGCGAUUGUCCAUCCCCUCCCCCAGUGAGGACAGCCGGGAAAGACCUGCCUUUGUUGUGUACAGGUGGUAUCUCACUGUGUUAUCCAGACUGGACUCAAAUUUCUGGGCUCCAAUGGUCCUCUCACCUCAGCCUCCCAAGUAGUCAGGACUACAGUGUUGCUGUCCUCAUUUUACAGAUGAAGAAACUGAGGCCCCAGAUCACAGGGCUGGUGAGAAGAACGUGAUAUCUCCAGAGCUAACACUUAACUACUAUAGUGUACCACACAAGGAGAGAGCAGCAUUAGAGAGGGGUGCCACUUCCUCUGAUGGAAGAUAAAAAAGAAAGAUUGCCAGCCUGGGCAACAUAGUGAGACCCUGUCUCUACAAAAAAUAAAAAUAAAAAAAUUAGCUAGGUGUGGUGGCAUGUGCCUGUAGUCCUAGCUACUUGGGAGGCUGAGGUGGGAGGAUUGCUUGAGCCCAAGAGUUUGAGGUUGCAGUGGGCUAUGAUUGUGCCACUGCACUCCAGCCUGGGCAACAGAGCGAGACCCUGUGUCUAAAAAAAGAAACAAAUAAGAUAAAAGGAAAGGCCGAACUAAACUCAGAUUUCUAAAGGCAAUGCCCUAUCCUGCCGGGCUGGAGGAAAUCCAACUGCAGCCUUUACUGUGGUUCUUCCUGGGAACUUUACAAAACUUCUGCCAUCUUACGGACCCCACAAUCUGGAGAAAGCCCCCGUGCAUAUGAGUCUGUAUUGAAACCACUGAGAUGCUGUGCCAGUUAAGAAUGUAUGAGCCAUACAUACAAGAAACCUGCCUGAUAGCGGCUUAAGCUAAAAAGUGAUUAUUUAGUUAUUUCACACAGCAAGAGGUCUAGAGGCAGGCAGUCCUCAGAGUGGUUUCAUAGUUCCCUGAUGUAUCCAAGCAUUUAGGAACUUUCCAUCCUUCCAUUCCAUCGUCCUCAGUGUAUGGGCCUUUUACCCUAGGCUUGCUACCUCAUAGUCACACCAUGGCUGCCAGAGCUGCAGAGCUCACAAAACCAUCUUCAGGGCAGGUAGCAGGUGCAGACCACCUGUAUCUUCUUCCCAGACUUCUCCCAAGUUCUCUUGGGCAGGACUGAGUCCUAAAUCGAUCCCUAGCAAAGGGAAAAUCAGCACAUUUGGUUUAGGGCUUUCAUGGGUCACCUUCUGGAGCUGGGGGAAAGGCCACCUUCCCAAGCAAGCUGCAUCUAGAAUAAAAUGUGAGUUCUUUAAGGAAGAUGGGAGAAUGGCUGUUGGGUGGGUAACCAACACGUCUGUCUCAGAAGACCACUGACCCAGUCCACAGGGCUCUUUGGGGUCCAUGGUCUGCUGCCCCAGGCCACACUCCGGACACAGAAAUUUCAGCCAAAACCAGGAGCCCUGGUCUUAGGGUCCAGCCUUCCCGGGCACACCCAGCAGCUCCUUCCUGGGCUUUGCCAGGGUGUUGUGGGGAGCUGGCACCGUCCCAAAUGAAUAUGGGGACUCAUGGGCUUCAAACUCCUUCUGGUCAGGAGAAACCUCCUAUCUAAGCCACAGUGCUUCCCAACCACACUUCCCUCUCUCAUCCCCCACCUUGUCCCAUCCCAGGGUCCUGGCCAAAUAUUCUCAAUAGUGAGACCUUUGGGAACACAGAGAGGAAUGUAUUGUGGCAGCUCCUUCUCUUGGCCAGUUAACACAAACUUGUCCCAAGGUGUGGCUACCUUUGUGCCUAUGGUGGCCGGGGGCUCAGGGGCAGUAACACAGGGAGCAAAAAACACAAAUUCAUCUCCAUAGUGCCCGUGCCACACUGGCAGCAGGAAGAAUGGUGCAGUGGUAAAUUGGAGACCUGAGCCCUCGCCCUACUCUGGGCCUAAGUGUCUUCAUCAGUAAAAUUGUUUAGAGGGACCACAGUAGGGCAGGGAUGGAGGAGUUCCACCCAUUCUGCAAACUAGAUAUAGAGGCCUCCACCAAUUCCCUAACACAGGGUUCCCCAACCCCCAGGCAGGGGGCCGAUACCUGUCUGUGGCCUGUUAGGAACGAGCUGCAUAGCUGGAGGUGAGCCGCAGGUGAGUAUUACAGCCUGAGCUCUGCCUCCUGCCAGAUCAGUGGCGGCACAAGAUUCUCAUAGGAGCACGAACCCUAUUGUGAACUGCACAUGCAAGGGAUCCAGGUUGCACGUUCCUUAUGAGAAUCUAAUGCCUGAUGAUCUGAAGUGGAACAGUUUCACCCAAAACCAUUCCCCACCCAAAACCUUUCCAUCCAUGGAAAAGUUGUCUUCCACAAAACCAGUCCCUGGAGCUAAAAACGUUGGGGAGUGCUGCCCUAGCAAAAUGCCCCAGUCAGGUCCAUUUCUACCCAGAUGGUGAGGUUGGGCGGUCCAGAGGAGCGGGCCCUGAUGAGUGUGUGGGCGUCCAGGUGCAGUGCUGGAAGUUUCCAGCCUGGCUCCAUGAUCAUAGAGGGUGGGGCUGGGGGGUUUGUUAGGAAUUGACAGAGGAUACCUAAAGCCUCAUUUCAGUAGCUAGAACAGCCUCAUUCCAAUAGCUCAUAACUGGGGUCCACAAACUAUAGAAUUCAGGGGUCUGUGCACUUGGAUUGGAAUAGAAUACAACUUUAUUUUCAGUCAUUUCUAUUUCCUUGGUUAUGAACAAAGGUAGCAAAGUGCAGUUGUAUCAGCAGUGCCAAUAGAAAUUACAGAGUUUUUCAUAUCCCUUUACAGUUUGCCACAGGUAUCUAUCUUAAAAUAUUGUUUACACUCAUCUCUCUUCAGUUUACCAUUGUUUAAUAGGCCUACCCUCGAUCUUUUUAUUCAAUAUGUUAAUAAAGAAACCUAUACACAUAGUAUCACGUUAUACAUUUUAAAAAUAUUUUGACAACUGUAUAUAAAUAUAACUAGCUUACUUUGUAAUCCUACAUAUUUUAUGUGUAUGAAAAUAUUAUUCUGAAAUUAGCCAGGCAUGGUGGUGCAUGCCUAUAGUCCCAGCUACUUGGGAGGCUGAGGUGGGAGGAUCACCUGAACCCAGGGAGGUCGAGGCUACAGUGAGCUGUGAUUGCACCACUGCACUCCAGCCUGGGUAAUGGAGUGAGACCCCAUCUCAAAAGAAAAGAAAAGAAAAUAUGAUUUUGAGAAGCGAUCCAUGGCACAAAAAAUGGCCAAGAGCCCCUGACUGAGAGGGGCCCUGUUGACACUCACAUGCCACCCGCCCAGAGUGAGGGCAGCUGCCCAGCUGAGCAGGGACCCCGCAGGAGGAACCAGAGCAGGAGAAUCCCUGGCACCACCCUUGCUCCAGUACACACCCAUGGGUGCUCAAUGAAGAAGUGAGGACAACUUGCUGCCAUCUUCAGUUUGAUGGAAUGGCCUUAGGCCUCUGCUGCCGAUUGUGAAAUCAUCGGCCUCUUACCUAAAAGCUCAGGAGGAUUUAGGGGGAAUGCAGAUAGAGCACAUGAGUUCACUGUGUAAUGAAGGAAGGGGAGCCUCCCAGCAUUAGAUCUUAGGGAAUUGUUCAAAUUUAAGGAAGCAAAAGCCAAGAGUUGGGAGGAGAGGCAGGGAGAGAUUCCUCCCUCCUCAGCUGUAGCUAUAGCAUUGCUUGGGGCCAUGGAAAAACAGUUUUCCACACCCUAGCAGACAGCAAAAGCUAUUUCAAUGUGCCAAGUGAAAGUUGAGCCAUGCCCUCAUCCAAACUAGCCCCCAGCCUCACGCAGGCAGCUCCGGGCACCCGUGCACACUGGGUUCACCCUUACGGAGCUGUUCCUCCAUCAGGCAGCUCUGGGCACUGGUGCACACUGGGCUUGCCCUUACGGGGGCUAUUCCUCCAUUUCUGUCUCCCCUUGUGCUGCCCCUCACUGGGGGCAGCACCACCCCAAUCCACGCCAGGCAAGCCCUGCCCUGGGACACCGCUGCUGUCUGUUUUCAUGGAUGACUCAGGCCCCAGCAAAGAUACUCUUUGUUCCUCAAAAGAGGGAAUGGAGGGUACACUUGCUCUUAGGAAAUGUCCCCCACCUUGCAGUCUGGCUUCCUGAUCUCUCUCUGUUAAGAUCUUUUAAGCCACCCCAUCAGCCACAGAACGAAGCGCAUCCACCAAGAAUACCUGAGCCCACAUCUCCCCCUCCCUCGCCCCGCCAGCUCCUCUGCCCCCCACAGCAGGAGAAUGGACUUGUUUCCUAUUACACAGGCCAUGUGCCCACUGGGCAAGACCCAAACCCGUGGAACCCCCACUCCCUCUACUCCCCACCCCCUCCACCCCCCACCUUGCACUGCUGAGCACCUCCACCGCCUUUUGAAGAAACUUCACAGAUUUGAGAAAACUCUGUGGGAGGGGCUGAGGUUUAAUUCCGGAGUGGGGAUGGCCUAGGAGGACACCAGAGGAUGAAGCGGGGGGUGGGGUCUGGGAGUCUGAAAUAAUAGAGAUUUUCAGGAGAGCAGCUCAAAGGUACAGCCCAGGGCCGCCCACUUCUGCUUCCUGCUGGGCUCUCUGCCACCUUCCAUAUGACAUUGGCCUGGUCGGGGCAAAGAAGUGACCGACAGGCCCCUGGGACAUCUUUCACUCAUUAUUCAUUCACGCACAGGUAUUUGCUCACAGUGGGCAAUGGGAAGGGGAGGCCAAACCACACACUAAAUGCUGCCCACAGAGGGCCUGCAGCCCAGGGGGGAUGAUGGAGAACAGCUGCCUGGAGGGAGGCCUAAGGUAGAGCCUUGAAGGCCAAGGAGAAUGGAGAGGAGAAUGGAGGGCCUUCCACGCACGGGCACUAAAAGAAGGCCAAGCCUACUUGGGGAGAGGCAAUAUCGGGACCUGUGCACUGGGCUGCACUGGGCAAAAAAGGCUAUGUGUGUCAUGCUGUUGGGAGAAAAUGGGUCCUGCGGUUAAGUACAUCUGGGAAGUUCUGGAUUAAAUGAGGAACGGAUCUCUUUACUGCAGGACUUGUCAAGACCUUUAACCUGUGAAUGCAGAAUGAACCUUACGGUGGAUCCCAGGACUGGUGUCCCACACUGACAUAAGGACUAGCUAGGGGAGGCAGUGGGAGCUGAUGAGAUUAGAGAGAACACAAGGGGUUUUGAAUGCCAGGCCAAGAAGGAAGGCUAGACUUUUUCCUUGGGGCAGUGAGAAUUCUCAGGAGGCUUAGAGGGAUGUAGACUCAGGGAACCUGGGGCAGUUUUAGUAACCAGCGAGGCCAGGGCUGUGGCAAGACUAGCCAGUCCCAGUCAAGGACUCCCCAGCUCCUUGACAGCAGGGCCAUUCUGUGGGAGAGAAAACAGAGACCAUGGACACAGUCAGCAGUAAGGGUCUCAGACUGGCGUGAAGAGGGAAGGCUGGGCAACCCUUGAAUCCAAGCUGGGUACAGUGCUCAAGCCUACUUGGGUUCCAAUCUGACUCCACCACUUCCUAGCUGUGGGUGUCUGACCCAAUGUCUCUGUGUCCUCAGGGUAUUUGUUUUUUUUGUUUUUUUGAGAUGGAGUCUCACUCUGUCACCCAGGCUGGAGUGCAGUGGUGUGAUCUCAGCUCACUGCAACCUCCACCUCCCAGGUUCAAGCAAUUCUGCCUCAGCCUCCCGAGUAGUUUGGGAUUACAGGCAUGCACCACCAAGCCCAGCUAAUUUUUGUAUUUUUGGUAGAGAUGGGGUUUCACCAUGUUGGCCAGGCUGGUCUUGAACUCCUGACCUCAAGUGAUCCGCCCACCUCAGCCUCCCAAGGUGCUGGGAUUACAGGCGUGAGCUACUGCGACCGGCCUGUGGUUUAUUUUUUAGAGCAGUUUUAGGUUGGUAGAAAGUAUAGAGGUUCCCACCUACUUCCUCCCCUUCUCUCUCCUCAGUUUUCUUGAUGAGUAACAUCUUGCAUUAGUGUGGCACAAUUGUUACAAUUUAUGAACCAAUACUGAUACAUUAUUAUUAACUGAAGUCCAUAGUUUACUUGAGGGUUCACUCUGUGUUAUCCAGUCCUACAGAUGGUAACAAAUGCACAAUAGGUAUCCACCAUUACAGUAUUAUACAGAAGAGUUUCAAGGCCUUAAAAAUGCUGUCUGGGCCUGCAGGGUGGCUCAUGCCUAUAAUCCCAGCACUUUGGGAGGCCAAAGUGGGAGGAUCACUUGAGUCCAGAAGUUCAAGAUCAGCCUGGGCAACAUAGAGAAACCCCGCCUAUACAAAAAAGAAAAAAAAUGUUUUAAUUAGCCACCUGCAGUCCUGGUGCACCUGGGUGGCACAGACCUGUAGUCCCAGCUACUUAGGAGGCUGAGGUGGGAGGAUGGCUUGAGCCCAGGAGGCUGAGGUUGCAGUAAGAUGUAAUUGUGCCACUGAACUCCAGCCCGGGUGACAGAGCCAGACCCUGUCUCAAACAAACAAACAAAAAAAAGCUUUCUGAGCCUCAGUUUUAACACCUGUAAGAUGAGUGUGAAACUCCAUCUGAAGCCCCCCAGUCUCCUCCUAUAGGUUUUUGAUUUAGGCCUCCCAACAAAUCAAGUAUGACUGAAAUCCACUAAAUGUCUCGAACUAUGGUCUGAUAUCCAUCAGAAUCACUAGGCUUGGGUCAGGGCGAGAGGUCCUCAUUCAAAUGCACAUUCUAAGGUCUCAACUGCAGACCUGCUGAGUCACAAGCCCUGGGGUGGGGCCCAGGAAUCUGCAUUUUAACAAGUCCCCUGGUGCACAAGGAAAUUUGAGACCCACUGUGCCCGACAGCUUGUGCACAUGGAAAUUUGUUCUGCCAAAGUUUCUCAGAUAAAAACAGAGAGGUUCUAGCCACUGUCAGGUCAAAGCUCUGGAGAGCUGUGCCAUCUCCCAAAGGGAGCAGAACGGUUUGCCAUCAAGCCAGGCAAGAGCCCAUUUCUGCCUGUGCAGCUCGCAGUCUCCGAGCCUGCUGUUGUUUCAUAUCUUGAUUGCUUAUCACUCACCCAAAAUAACCUGAAUGCAAUCGCACCAGCUGCAGCUCUCUCUGCAACUCCCUUAAUUUAGCAGCCAAACACAUUGGGUUCCUUCACAGAGCACAAGGCCUCAGCACGGGGCCCAGGAAGGGGCCCCUCCCUCCCAGCUGUCUGUAGUGAGUUGAAUCAUUUCCCCCUGGAAUUCAUGUCCACCUGGAACCUGAGAAUGUGACUUUAUUUGGAACUAGAGUAUUUGCAGGUUUAAUUAAUAAGGAUCAAGAUAAGAUCACACAGGAUUAGGGUGGGCCCUAAAUCCAAUGACUGUUGUUAAAAGAGGAGAGAACAGAAGAGACAGAGACUGGAGUGAUGCAGCAAUAAGCUGGGGAAUGCCACGGACUGCCCACUGCCGCCACAAGCUAAAAAGAGCCAAGGAAGGAUUCUUCCCCAGAGCCUUCAAAGGGACCACAGCCCUGCCAACACCUCCAUCCCAGAUUUCCAGCCUCCAGAACUGUAAGGGAAUCAAGUUCUGCUGUUUCAAUCCACCAGGUUUGUGGUAAUUCGUUAGAGCAUCCCUAGGAAACCAACACAGCAUCACUGCCAUAGGCCCCCGGCCUGGCUCAGCGCCCACUCAGCCCCACUCUGGCGGGAAGGAAAGGGCCCCACCUGCAGGCGAUUCUCCAGAUGGGCAGUUUAACGUGGCCUGUUAGGAUCAGAGCUAGUUUCUCCCAACCGACAUCUUUGAAUUCUGCAUCUACUAGGCCCAUUUCCCACAUAAGGAGAAGGACCCUUCUGUCCUCUGCUUGAAAGGCUGUAUUCCAAGAAGGGCUGAGUUUGGUAGUGACAAAUACUGGUCCUUGGGCAGUGUCUGGCCGGCGGUGCCAUGCAAGAUGAGUCCCUACAGCUUCAUGCCACUCCGGCGCCGUGAGUCCUUCCGGGCAAUGGGGCUGAAGUUCACAAUCUCCUUGUAGAUGUGCUC